rnacentral:rRNA from 1 species
CGGCGGACGGGUGAGUAACACGUGGAUAACCUACCUAUAAGACUGGGAUAACUUCGGGAAACCGGAGCUAAUACCGGAUAAUAUUUUGAACCGCAUGGUUCAAAAGUAAAAGACGGUCUUGCUGUCACUUAUAGAUGGAUCCGCGCUGCAUUAGCUAGUUGGUAAGGUAACGGCUUACCAAGGCAACGAUGCGUAGCCGACCUGAGAGGGUGAUCGGCCACACUGGAACUGAGACACGGUCCAG